AAAACUAUAGUAUAAUUUUAGUAUAUUUAAUUGCAAAUUAAAUGGUAUUAGUUUUU
rnacentral:tRNA from 1 species